rnacentral:guide_RNA from 1 species
AAAUAAAACAAACAGUGUAUAUGGUCUCAGAGAUAUUGUAUAAU